rnacentral:misc_RNA from 1 species
AAUGUGAAUCACGUUUGUUAAACAAGACGCAAAUUGUAAAUAUAAUUUUGUACAUGAUGUCAACAUUCGUACGUUCAAGUUCUUUGAACAAUAAUGGUGUUACAGCUAUUAAACAUCCUGAGGAUGGUUUUGUGGAGAAUGAGGAGAAUGGAGAAAAUGAGGAAUAUAAAAUGGAGGUUGACGACGGAGAUGUGUUUAACAACAACACGGACGAUAAUAAAGAAUAUGGUUCAGAUAAUAAAGAAGAUCCAGGAGCAACAAAUCAAAGGUCUGAGUUCCUUGUGAAUGCUGAUGAACUACCACAGAUCAAACUUGAAGCAGACAUUGUUCAAGAGCAACCAACAUUUUCUCAAGAUGAGUUAGAUAUCAAGGAUGAACCCAUAGACAUAGAAGGUUCUGAUGAAGUAGAUCAUGGAAAAGAUAAAUAUCCAAGAAGCUGUUACGCGCCUGGAAAAAAUAAUAAUCAGGAUGGGUUUGGCAAGUAUUUGACAGUACAGGAGAUGGUUCGCCUUCACUUUGAUCCGGAAAUAUGUAAAAUAGAUUUAUCUAAGAAACCAGUUAUGCUUCUUGAAAAAGUUGAUAAUUACUGGCCAAUAAACUACCAAAAGGAAAAGGAGAAGAUUGUUAAUAGCAGUGAUCACAUACAGGUUUUCAAGGAAGAAAUAAACCCGGACUGGGAGAUAGUGGCAGAACAAGAGAUUUUGGAGGCCAAUAGAGAUUGGAGUAAGAACUAUAGAGUUGUGGAGGAGCAUCAGAAGAAACCUGGUUCAUUGAGUCGUGUUAGAUCUGGUCGAGAGAAGAGUAAACUCCAAGAGGCCGAGGAUACUGACGAGGAUAUUGAUGACCCAGAGUCUCAUGAGGGCAAGUCUAAUUCACCAGGUGAAGAUGAUGAGAGCGAUCCCGAGAAUGAUGAUACAGAUGAAGAUGAUGCGCAGGAGGAGCAUAAUGAUGAUGAUGAUGAUGACGACGACGACGAUUUUGAUGAUGAGGAUUUCACUAUUAAAGGCAGGAGAAGAGUGCACAGUUUGAGUCCUGAUCUUGAGGAUAUCAAAGACAACCUAAGAAUACUGGAUGUAGAUGAUGAGGAUUCCUUGGACCAGUCUGAGUUAAAGGUGGAGAUGGGAGAAAAUGAUAUUAACUUCGAAGAUAUAAAGAUAGUUGAUAUUGGAGGAUUUCAGAUUGAAACGUUUGGUGACUACUCUAGAUGUCCUAAAUGUAUGAAACAUAUCAAGUCAACGUUUAUCAUUAGACACAUCAAGCUACAUGACAUACCUGUCCGCACCCUCAAGUGUCCGUAUAAGUCUUGUAAAACAACUUUUACUAGAACCAACAACUUGUACAGACACCUUAAGGCUGUCCAUAAUGCCCCCAUGCCAUACAUCUGUAUUUACAAGGAGUGUGUACUCAAGUUUAAAGAAAGCAAGAGUUUACGAGAUCACGUGAGAAGCGUUCAUCGAGAACCAACCAGAAGAGAAAUAGAGGACUUGGACGGAGCUGACGAUAAAUACAAGUGCGAGUUUCCGGGCUGUGGUAAGGAGUAUGGAAAACGUCAACAUCUUAAAGAACAUUUCAGAAAACAUACUGGAGAUAUGAGAUAUUCUUGUGAGGUCUGUGGAGAACGCUUUUUUGUUCACGGUCACAUGAAGCGUCAUCUGUACAGCCAUACAGGCAUUAAGCCUCAUGCUUGCAGAUGGAAGUGCGGAGCUAUAUUUGCAUCAUACGGAGGGAGGAUGAAACACGAGAGAGCGCAGCACAGUGAGAACCCAUACAAGCUAGAGUGUGAUAUAUGUGGUAGACCUUUCAGGUUUGACCGUGAGCUGGAUAAACACAAAUUGACCCAUAUGGCGCCUAGUGAACGAAUCGCCUAUAGAUGCUCUUUUUGCGGAAUCAUCUUUGACAGUAUUUCCCAUAGAGAAAGGCACGAGCAGAGACACAAGGACAAUGACAGCUUUCAGUGUGAGGAUUGUCUAAAAUUUUUCAAGAACGAAAAGAAUUUAAGACAUCACUCUAAAGCCCAUCAUGAACAGAAAACGGAAAAGAAGAAAACCGGAAAUAAGAACCAAGAAAAGAAGGAACGAAAAGAACCUCCGAAGUAUCCUUGUCACAUGUGUGAUAUUCCAAUCAUGUUUGCACUCACCGCACUUAGGAGACAUCUUGCAAGAAAGCACAGUACCAACUUUAAGUGUGAUAAAGAUGGAUGCUCUAAAACAUUUGCCAAACAGUAUCAGUUUGACGCUCAUAUGAAGCUGCACACCCAUCGGAAUUGUCACAUUUGCGGAAAGGAUUUUAAACGAAAACAGAACGCUGAUAUUCAUCUCAUGGGAGUUCAUGGCUUUACAAAGGAAAGCCUACAGUCCUUAGGAAGAUAAAUAGGAUAAAAGUUGGGCGCACAUUUACCAACAAAGUGGGACGAGUAAAUUUUUUUUGUACAUAUAAAACGUUUUGAACAAAGACUGAAUUAAUCCAAACAUCACUUUAAAACUAGUCAGGUUGUUGAAGCUAGUCAGAAACUUUUAAAACAUUUUUCUAGUCUAAAGUUAAAUGUGUAAAAAUAUUAUAUUGAAUAUAAUGUUUAUUGUAUAUUCUUCAAACAAUGAACGGUAUUUGAUCUGAAAACAAAACCAAAGAAUUUGUAAAAUUAGUUUACCAAAUUUUUAUUUGUGAUAUCUUUAAGGGCUCUGCAAUGUAACCAGUGCUGUAAUAUAAUGUUCUAAUCAUUUUUUUUUUGUGAUUGUUAACGUUCAUAAUGCAUAAUAUAAAAUCAUAAUCUUAGUUGGAAUGUAAGGGUUCAUAACUAGAUUAAUUCUAAAUCCAAAACCAAAUGUACAAACGUACUGAUCAAAUAUUUGAGCGUAGUGGAAGAAAAUAUAAUUUUUAAUAUUCUGUUGCAUUCUAAAUGUGAUGGUGCAUGCGUGAAGUAACAGUUAAUUAUGUAUUAUUUGUUCAUGAGAACUCCUAGUCAUCUUUUUAUUUAGUGUGAAUAAAGAAAUUAUUUAUUUAAGUCUUUGCUGUACAGUAUAUGGUUCUGAACCUGUUACCAAGCGUUUGUUCAAAGAUUAGCUUUGUUGAAAAAUAUUGUGAUUUUUUUCUUUUAUUCUGUUAAAUAAAUUUAGUUAUUAUUAA